rnacentral:lncRNA from 1 species
UGGGCUGGCGCAGACUGGCCGCAGACUACCAAGCGAAGGCUGCGAUGCGUUGUGAUAACGCGAACCCCAAGAGACCCACCUGGAACACAGCCAGGCAUCCGCGGUGAGCCAGGAGUAGUACGUACAUGCGAGGACAAGAGGAAAGAGAACGGCAGAAAGGAGGGUGCGGCAUGGCGAGUGUCAAAACGUUGAGGCCGGCGCAGAAAAUAAACCAGGGUGGCUGCUUAGCUGCGGCCGGGCUGACGUGAAGGCUGACUGGCUGCUGUAUAUGGUGAGCUGAGACUGGUAUGAAAGGCUGGUGCCGGCCAGGCGAGUUGGGCAUGAGGCGCUGCUGCAUGGGGACAUGACGCUCUGUAGGCCAUGGGCCUUUGGGUGAGCCCAGCCGGAGGGGUCCAGGUCCCGUGCGUAUGGCGUCGCAGGUGUCGCUAGGUAGAUUUAGGCUGCAUGGUGACCGGUGUGGUACAAUUUGGGCAGGAUUAGGUACAGGUUGUGGUUGCAGACAGGUGGGGCACAGAUUUGCUUUGUCGGCAUCAGGAUACACAGGUGGGUGGUUGCUGCGUUGGGGCUGAGUAGGGGGUGUUGAUUGCCCCGUCUCACCGGCUCCCUCCUCGUCUUCGGUGCUCAUUGCCGCGGCCACGGCGGGCCCAGCCUUUGUGGUGAUGCAGGGCGCGCGCGCACUGGCCAGCCUGUACCAUGCCUCGAGCUGCAGCACGUCGAAGGCGACACGCAGGGGGUGCUGCUUGCCCGGCGUGUCGGGCUUCGCGGCGCAGCUCGCUUGCGUGAUGCCAUGCGUCCCUAUUGAUUGCAUUGGAAGCGCGGGUAGGCGAUGUGAGGUGUUUGAGGUCUUGUAGGCGCUAAAUGGUUCGCAGUGUUGGCUUGCGCUGGCGAUCCGCUGGGCGGAAGCCGAGUGUAGGGACCGCAGGCAUAGGCUUUGGCCAUAGCAGCGAGUAUUGUUAAGUGAGGCACUAGCAAAGCUUGCGGGUGUCAUUUUUGUUUGCAUACGAGCUGUGCUUCGUCCCAGGUGUAGUGUAGAUUUGCAUUGGCUCUCAACGAGUUUUGGAGGGUGCCAUAUUCUAUUGUAAUGUAGUGGUAGUGCUCCUUCUUUCGAUUGAUUAUCGAUGGGCCCUGUGACGGGGUCAGUCGCGUGUCGGUAUUUAACCUUUGUUCGGUUUGUUCUACCUAAUUGGUAUUCUUCUUGUCUGGGCGUAUCUGAUGAGUGUUCCAUGUAGUUUGUUUGUGUCUGGGAGGGCAGGUCGCUGGGGAAGGCUUUGGCGGUGCAGGUUUCUUUCUUGUUUUGUUGUUUAUCCGAGUGGUUUUGGUAGUGUAUAUCAGGCUUUCUUGAGUAUUGCUGCCAUAAUGUCGGAAGCUUGUUCAGAGGGCGUUCUGUCUCGUGUGAGUGCUCUGCUGUAGGUUGGUUAUCACGUUUGAUAUACUGGUGGUUAUUCGUGGGUGUUGGGAGGGAUUCCCACUGUAUGUCAAGGCUGGGUCUCGGUUCUUGGUCCCUUGCUUCGCUGGAACGGUUUACAUGUUUGACUUCCUGAUAUUCUGCAUUCGCUAGCAGGCAGUCUUGGGAGUCGUGAGGGGCUUCCGGGGGAGAAAUUGAGGAUAAUGGCGCCAUUUCUUGCCAGUUCCGCUGGAGCUCGGCCGAUGGGUCCCCUCCACCGAUUCCUGUUGUCUGAGACAGCUCACGAGAUCGAGACCAUAGGUCUACGAGAGCCCGAGAGACUCCAGGAGGGUGGAUGGGUCCAGUCGACGACCGGGGGCUUUCCAGCGGGAACUUGUUUGUGAGGCUUAUCAUUAACAUGAUAAGGACCCGUAGGAGGGCCAUUUUGGGGCUCAAAGCUCCGAUUUUCCCGACAGCUCUCAACAGAGUGCUUCCAAGCUGGUAUCCGCGCGUGUUCGCAGCGAGAUAUCGUAUAAUCUUAAACAUAUAUUUUUAACAGUACCGUCAUCACACGGGCUUUGACCCUUGCCCUGAACGACCCCGGCAGACUAGGCAUGGUCACGCAUGCCCUGCUGGACCUACAAAGCCGCAUCGCCGGCACAGCAGCCAUACACAAACUACGUCGGGAAAGCCACUUCUACACCACACUCAAACAACUCAGUAUCAUGCGAGAAUACGACAUCACCCUGUGGGACCACGGAGCGCCGUAUGCCGGCCCCAUCAAC